rnacentral:rRNA from 1 species
GUCUAUGGCCAUACCACCCUGAUCUCGUCUGAUCUCAGAAGCUAAGCAGGGUUGGACCUGGUUAGUACUUGGAUGGGAGAAGGAGUGUCCCUUCAAGCAUCAGUUCUUCUGUUUCCAGUUAUGGAAGAGUUGGACC